rnacentral:rRNA from 1 species
UACAGAGGGGGCAAGCGUUAUUCGGAAUUAUUGGGCGUAAAGGGCGCGUAGGCGGCUUGGCAAGUGGAUGGUGAAAUCCCUCGGCUUAACCGAGGAACUGCCGUCCAAACUGCUUUGCUUGAGACCGGGAGAGGUGAGUGGAAUUCCCAGUGUAGCGGUGAAAUGCGUAGAUAUUGGGAGGAACACCAGUGGCGAAGGCGGCUCGCUGGGACGUGACUGACGCUGAGACGCGAAAGCGUGGGGAGCAAACAGGG